GAUGAAGAACGUAGUGAAAUGCGAUAAGUAAUGUGAAUUGCAGAAUUCAGUGAAUCAUCGAAUCUUUGAACGCACAUUGCGCCCGCCAGCAUUCUGGCGGGCAUGCCUGUUCGAGCGUCAUUUCAACCCCUCAGGCCCUAGCGCCUGGCGUCGGAGGCUUUCCCCCCUCACCGGGGAACCUCUCAGAAACAGUGGCGGACCCGCCGCGGCUCCGAGCGCAGUAGUUAAAAUUUCUCGCUUCUGGAGUUAACCGCGGGGGAGUCUGAGCCGUUAAACACCGGUCCCCGGACCGAAUAACCAAGGUUGACCUCGGAUCAGGUAGGAAUACCCGCUGAACUUAAGCAUAUCAAUAAGCGGAGGA
rnacentral:misc_RNA from 1 species